rnacentral:misc_RNA from 1 species
GCAAACUUGGUCAUUUAGAGGAAGUAAAAGUCGUAACAAGGUUUCCGUAGGUGAACCUGCGGAAGGAUCAUUAUCGAGUUAGGGUCUCUUACAAACGAGCCCGACCUCCAACCCCUUGCUUAUUUGACCUAUUGUUGCUUCGGCAGGCCCGCCCUUCUGGGCCGCCGGGGGACCUGCUGUGCCCCUGGUCCGCGCCUGCCGACGGCCCAAUUUUCCAAAACUCUUGUUAACAAACAUGUUGUCUGAGUUUAUCAAAAAAAUAAAAUCAAAACUUUCAACAACGGAUCUCUUGGUUCUGGCAUCGAUGAAGAACGCAGC